GACGAACGCUGGCGGCGUGCUUAACACAUGCAAGUCGAACGGAAAGGCCCUGCUUUUGUGGGGUGCUCGAGUGGCGAACGGGUGAGUAACACGUGAGUAACCUGCCCUUGACUUUGGGAUAACUUCAGGAAACUGGGGCUAAUACCGGAUAGGAGCUCCUGCUGCAUGGUGGGGGUUGGAAAGUUUCGGCGGUUGGGGAUGGACUCGCGGCUUAUCAGCUUGUUGGUGGGGUAGUGGCUUACCAAGGCUUUGACGGAUAGCCGGCCUGAGAGGGUGACCGGCCACAUUGGGACUGAGAUACGGCCCAGACUCCUACGGGAGGCAGCAGUGGGGAAUAUUGCACAGUGGGCGGAAGCCUGAUGCAGCAACGCCGCGUGCGGGAUGACGACCUUCGGGUUGUAAACCGCUUUCGCCUGUGACGAAGCGUGAGUGACGGUAAUGGGUAAAGAAGCACCGGCUAACUACGUG
rnacentral:rRNA from 1 species